rnacentral:lncRNA from 1 species
GGUAGACAGACAGUGUUCAUUAUGACCUAGAGGAUUCUAUAUGGUAGACAGACAGUGUUCAUUAGACCUAGAGGAUUCUAUAUGGUAGACAGACAGUGUUCAUUAUGACCUAGAGGAUUCUAUAUGGUAGACAGACAGUGUUCAUUAUGACCUAGAGGGUUCUAUAUGGUAGACAGACAGUGUUCAUUUUGACCUAGAGGGUUCUAUAUGGUAGACAGACAGUGUUCAUUAUGACCUAGAGGAUUCUAUAUGGUAGACAGACAGUGUUCAUUAAACCUAGAGGAUUCUAUUUGGUAGACAGACAGUGUUCAUUAGACCUAGAGGAUUCUAUAUGGUAGACAGACAGUGUUUUUUAGACCUAGAGGAUUCUAUAUGGUAGACAGACUGUUCAUUAUGACCUAGAGGAUUCUAUAUGGUAGACAGACAGUGUUCAUUAUGACCUAGAGGAUUCUAUAUGGUAGACAGACAGUGUUCAUUAUGACCUAGAGGGUUCUAUAUGGUAGACAGACAGUGUUCAUUAUGACCUAGAGGAUUCUAUAUGGUAGACAGACAGUGUUCAUUAUGACCUAGAGGAUUCUAUAUGGUAGACAGACAGUGUUCAUUAGUUGGGGAACACUGAGGUGAGAAGAAUGUUUUACCAACAUAACAAACGGCAUGCAUGUUUUCACCUGUAUGGACUGUAUGGGCUACAGUACAAGCCCCUGUCUCUGAGGCUGCAUGUGUUUUUUUCCUCUUCCGCAAAAUAAUUGGGUCAUCACUAUUUACUACAGCCACAAAGUCAGAAGGCCCGCCUACUCGACCAAUCAGAUGAGGGAGUGUGAUGACAUGUAUGCUGACCGGCUUGCAUUUCUUUUAUAUAUUGAUUAGUCAAUAACCAACUGUUCUAUGUGCUAAGUGUUAAUCUGGUGUCUUAUUCAACCGUUCUAAAUACAAAGUGUUAAUCUGGUGUCUUAUUCAACCGUUCUAAAUACAAAUGUUAAUCUGGUGUCUUAUUCAACCGUUCUAAAUACAAAGUGUUAAUCUGGUGUUUUAUUCAACCGUUCUAAAUGCAAAGUGUUAAUCGGAUGUCUUAUUCAAACUCAGCUUGCAAGCUAAUCAUGAUUUUUUCCCCCCUUACUCAUAGUUACAUGUUUUAAAAAGUGGUUUACUCCAAUAUCUGCGUUGUUUUUAAAAUGGCAUGUAGAUAAAUAAAGUGCCACAUCUUGAAUUCAGAUUUAGUUUUUUUCAAAAUCCACAAGUAAAACCGUACACAACUUCACAGAAAUGUUCACAGAUAUAAAAGAAAUUGGGCAGAUAAUUUGGCUGAUUUAAGAUAAAAACUUCAACGCUGUUAUUUUAUUAGGCACCUAGGCACUUACUAUAGUCAUU